GUACACGCUGUGACUAGCAUAUCAAUAAGCGGAGGAAAAGAAACUAACAAGGAUUCCCCUAGUAACGGCGAGUGAAGCGGGAAGAGCUCAAAUUUGAAAUCUUAAAGGGUUUCCCUUUACGAAUUGUAGUUUAAAGAAGUGUUUUCUGUUGAGGUUUUGGUAAAAGUUCUUUGGAAUAGGACAUCAUAGAGGGUGAGAAUCCCGUAUUUGACCUUUACUUUCAACUUUGUGAUACACUUUCAAAGAGUCGGAUUGUUUGGGAAUGCAGUCCAAAAUGGGUGGUAAAUUUCAUCUAAAGCUAAAUAUUGGCGAGAGACCGAUAGCGAACAAGUACCGUGAGGGAAAGAUGAAAAGAACUUUGAAAAGAGAGUUAAACAGUACAUGAAAUUGUCAAAAGGGAAGCGUUUGACACCAGUGUUGUUUUUCUGAAAAUCAAUUAAAGAACUGUUUAUGCUAAGUUGUUUAGACUUUAUCAGCUAACUGUUUAGUUUUGAGCUUUUCUUUAAUGCACUUUUCAGUUAACAAGUCAACAUCAAUUUCUUUUGCUGUAAAAAAGUUUGAGGAAGGUGGCUUGAGAUUCGUCUUAAGUGUUUAUAGCCUCUUGCCUAUGCAGUCGGAGAGAUUGAGGUCUGCAGCGUAGAUCCUUCGGGGCUAAAUGCAUUUGUGCUAAGUUAUAACAUUUCAUAGACAACUUGUUGACUAUGAUUUGUCUUGUAGCUUACUCGCUUAUGUUAUUUUACCUACGCUUAGGAUGUUGAAUCUGUGCGAGACUAC
rnacentral:rRNA from 1 species